AACCAAAGCUUUUUGUCAGGGGACAGUUUUCGCAUUUUCUUUAUCCUUAACAGGUGAGAAUUUACUAUACAACUGUCGCUGUUACUGUUUUGGGAAAUCAAUAUUAUUCGUGAUCCAAUAUUUCUUCGUUCUGAAGAGCCUUUUUUGGAUCGUCCUAAUACUAUAGCUUCGUUCUGAAGUUUACAUAUUGUAUUUGGGAAGAAUAACGAAGAUCUUUGAUGAGUUGGAAAGAGACGUUUUGUAAUGUUUUCAUUGCAAUAUCUACACUUUCUUUUCGUAGUAAAGAGCUUUACAUUU
rnacentral:snoRNA from 1 species